rnacentral:rRNA from 1 species
AACGAACGCUGGCGGCAUGCCUAACACAUGCAAGUCGAACGAGAUCUUCGGGUCUAGUGGCGCACGGUGCGUAACGCGUGGGAAUCUGCCCUUUGGUUCGGAAUAACAGUUGGAAACGACUGCUAAUACCGGAUGAUGACGAAAGUCCAAAGAUUUAUCGCCAGAGGAUGAGCCCGCGUAGGAUUAGCUAAUUGGUGUGGUAAAGGCGCACCAAGGCGACGAUCCUUAGCUGGUCUGAGAGGAUGAUCAGCAACACUGGGACUGAGACACGGCCCAGACUCCUACGGGAGGCAGCAGUGGGGAAUAUUGGACAAUGGGCGAAAGCCUGAUCCAGCAAUGCCGCGUGAGUGAUGAAGGCCUUAGGGUUGUAAAGCUCUUUUACCCGGGAUGAUAAUGACAGUACCGGGAGAAUAAGCUCCGGCUAACUCCGUGCCAGCAGCCGCCGCCGUAA